CGGAGGGUGCAAGCGUUAUCCGGAUUCACUGGGUUUAAAGGGUGCGUAGGCGGAUUAGAAAGUCCGUUGUGAAAUCUCUGAGCUUAACUCGGAAAUUGCGGUGGAUACUAUUAGUCUUGAAUACUGUGGAGGUUAGCGGAAUAUGUCAUGUAGCGGUGAAAUGCAUAGAUAUGACAUAGAACACCAAUUGCGAAGGCAGCUGGCUACACAGAUAUUGACGCUGAGGCACGAAAGCGUGGGGAUCAAACAGGAUUAGAUACCCUGGUAGUCCACGCCCUAAACGAUGAUUACUCGACAUUUGCGAUACACAGCAAGUGUCUGAGCGAAAGCAUUAAGUAAUCCACCUGGGAAGUACGACCGCAAGGUUG
rnacentral:rRNA from 1 species